CAAGCGUUAUCCGGAUUUAUUGGGCGUACAGGGUGCGUAGGCGGUUGUGUAAGUUUGAGGUUAAAGCCCGGAGCUCAACUCCGGUUCGCCUUGAAAACUACAUAACUAGAAUGCAAGAGAGGUAAAUGGAAUUCCAUGUGUAGCGGUAAAAUGCGUAGAUAUAUGGAAGAACACCUGUGGCGAAAGCGGUUUACCAGCUUGUUAUUGACGCUGAGGCACGAAAGCGUGGGGAGCAAAUAGGAUUAGAUACCCUAGUAGUCCACGCCGUAAACGUUGAGUACUAGGUGUCGGGAAUUAUCUCGGCGCCGCAGCUAACGCAUUAAGUACUCCGCCUGAGUAGUAUGCACGCAAGUGUGAAACUCAAAGGAAUUGACGGGGACCCGCACAAGUGGUGGAGCAUGUGGUUUAAUUCGAAGCAACACGAAGAACCUUACCAGGGCUUGACAUCCAGUGCAAAGGCAUAGAGAUAUGCUGGAGGCUAACAUUGAGACAGGUGGUGCAUGGUUGUCGUCAGUUCGUGCCGUGAGGUGUUUGGUUAAGUCCAGCAACGAACGCAACCCUUGUCAUUAGUUACUAACAUUAAGUUGAGGACUCUAAUGAGACUGCUAGUGUAAGCUAGAGGAAGGUGGGGAUGACGUCAAAUCAUCAUGCCCCUUAUGUCCUGGGCUACACACGUGCUACAAUGGCUGAUACAAAGAGUCGCAAUCUCGCAAGGAGGAGCUAAUCUCAUAAAGUCAGUCUCAGUUCGGAUUGAGGGCUGCAACUCGCCCUCAUGAAGCCGGAAUCACUAGUAAUCGCGAAUCAGAUAAGUCGCGGUGAAUACGUUCUCGGGUCUUGUACACACCGCCCGUCACACCACGAGAGUUGGUAACACCAGAAGUAGGUAGCCUAACCGCAAGGAGGGC
rnacentral:rRNA from 1 species